rnacentral:rRNA from 1 species
UACGUAGGGGGCAAGCGUUGUCCGGAUUUAUUGGGCGUAAAGAGCGUGUAGGCGGCUUUACAGGUCCGUUGUGAAAACUCGAGGCUCAACCUCGAGACGCCGGUGGAAACCGUAAAGCUAGAGUCCGGAAGAGGAGAGUGGAAUUCCUGGUGUAGCGGUGAAAUGCGCAGAUAUCAGGAGGAACACCGAUGGCGAAGGCAGCUCGCUGGGACGGUACUGACGCUGAGACGCGAAAGCGUGGGGAGCGAACAGG